rnacentral:rRNA from 1 species
GUGGGGAAUUUUGGACAAUGGGCGCAAGCCCGAUCCAGCAAUGCCGCGUGCAGGAAGAAGGCCUUCGGGUUGUAAACUGCUUUUGUACGGAACGAAACGGUCCGGGUUAAUACCCUGGGCUAAUGACGGUACCGUAAGAAUAAGCACCGGCUAACUACGUGCCAGCAGCCGCGGUAAUACGUAGGGUGCAAGCGUUAAUCGGAAUUACUGGGCGUAAAGCGUGCGCAGGCGGUUUUGUAAGACAGGCGUGAAAUCCCCGGGCUCAACCUGGGAAUUGCGCUUGUGACUGAAAGGCUGGAGUGCGGCAGAGGGGGAUGGAAUUCCGCGUGUAGCAGUGAAAUGCGUAGAUAUGCGGAGGAACACCGAUGGCGAAGGCAAUCCCCUGGGCCUGCACUGACGCUCAUGCACGAAAGCGUGGGGAGCAAACAGGAUUAGAAACCCCGGUAGUCC